CACUAUCGCGAUCACCACCACCAUCCCACCAACACUGCGGUACCACUACAAGUAUCGUGCGCUCAGCGGCUGGAGAACCUCGACGAGGACGAGGACGAACCGCCGCGAGAGCGCAGAAGCUGGAGGACAAGGAUAACGCCGGCUGGAAGCGGAGAAAACCAUACAAGCGAGGAGAGGGAAGAAGACGCGAGUUAGCGGCGCGUCGCGCUGUUCUCUCCUGCCGGUCUGCAACUUCCCGGAUAUCUUUCCGGUAAACUUUCCUCUCUUCGCCGACGACGGAAAGUAGCUCCCCAGUCUUCCUGUCUCGCUCGCACUGUCUCCAUUUACGCGUCCGGACGUAUCGUCUGCCGUUGAAUCGGCACGAUCGAAGAUCCGAUCACUAAUCGACGUGAAGGACAUCUCGACGCGGGAAUAAUUCGUCUCUUCAACUUUUUCUUUCGAUUUAUUUCAUCCUGUUAUUUUUUUCUACGAAACAGGUCAGAACAAUCGUGAAAAGUGUGCGUUUCCUAAUUCAAGAUCUGUGCGUGCUUGCUAUAGAUGGGUGGGUCUUCCCUCAACAUCUAUGUGAUGAUUGGAUCGUCAAAUAUUAAAGACACAAACGGACGAAUCGAGAAGUAUCUGUAGGGGGUCUUUGAAAUGGAAAGUCUUCGAAAUGAAAAGAUUCUAAAGCAAAGAAUUCUAUUCUAACUAAUAGAAGAACUCUACGGUUUUCUCCGCCAUAUGAAAUAAUUCCGCCGUUAGAUGAUUGUCAGAUCAAUGUUGAGACUGAUGACUGAUUUCGUUUUAAAUAUCCUGCAUUGAGCAAACGCGCGUAAAUGCGACAAAUUUUAUAAGACAAUAUCGUCAUUACAUCUGUACGAUUAAAAUCACCAUAAUAAUUUCGCAUUUCUUGGGAAACUACUGUUCCGAAAAAGUGUUGUCACAAUUUUAAGUCUUAUAAAUCUUGUGUUUCAAUAACAACAAGAAAAGGUGAAGAUGAAUAUACCAACUUUCUGUGAAGAAGAUGUAAAAUUUUAAGUAUACUCUUCACCCACGUGGUCUCAAUCUUCAUUUGCACACACAGAGCAGAAGGUGACUGUUGAAGUUUAUUACACUUGAAAAGGACCGCAAUUGACGGUCGAAACGUUGUGGUAAUCUAGCACCAUUGUAUUGCCAGUUUGGUCAAAUAUAUUGGAUUUUUAUUUUUACAAAAAUAAAAAGGUUUCUUAUAUAAAGUAAUCCUC